rnacentral:misc_RNA from 1 species
AAAGUCGUAACAAGGUUUCCGUAGGUGAACCUGCGGAAGGAUCAUUAACAAAUCUGCCUCAAGCGCGGUAGGCCGUUAGGCCUGCCGUGCUAUAUUGACCCGAGCUGGCAUAUACAUGAUAUAUGCCGGGUUUGGUGGGUGGGGCGCAAGCCCUGCUCGGCUGUGCAGUACCAUUAGUACUAACGUACUCAUGGUACUACCAGCCACAUAGACGCUUGUAUGUUUGACAGAGUAAGCACAAAAGUAAAUUGACAACUUUUAACAAUGGAUCUCUUGGCUCUU